AGCGAACGCUGGCGGCAGGCUUAACACAUGCAAGUCGAACGCCCGGGCAACCGGGAGUGGCAGACGGGUGAGUAACACGUGGGAACGUACCCUUUGGUUCGGAAUAACUCAGGGAAACUUGAGCUAAUACCGGAUAAGCCCUUAUGGGGAAAGAUUUAUCGCCGAAGGAUCGGCCCGCGUCCGAUUAGCUAGUUGGUGAGGUAAUGGCUCACCAAGGCGACGAUCGGUAGCUGGUCUGAGAGGAUGAUCAGCCACACUGGGACUGAGACACGGCCCAGACUCCUACGGGAGGCAGCAGUGGGGAAUAUUGGACAAUGGGGGCGAACCCUCGAUCCAGCCAUGCCGCGUGAGUGAUGAAGGCCCUAGGGUUGUAAAGCUCUUUCGGCGGGGACGAUAAUGACGGU
rnacentral:rRNA from 1 species